rnacentral:lncRNA from 7 species
GUGUGAUUUCGUAGAUAAUGCGUGAUUUUCAGGUUACAUGGGAGAUUUUUGAAGAGAAAAUGUGAUAUUCGAUGAUCGGGUUCUUGAAGGAAAAUGCAUCUUUUGGUUAAUGGGGUUCUCGAAGAGAAAUUGCAUUUUACUGGUUAAAUGGGGGAUUUUGAAGAGGAAAUGCAUGAGUUUUCGUUUACAUGUGAGAUUUUUGUAGAGGAAACGCGUGAUUUUUUGGAUACAUGGGGGGAUUUCUUGUAGCAAAAAUGGUUUGGAUUUUGGGGUCAAAUGGGGGAUUAUUGAAGAGCAAAAGUGUGAUUUCCGAGUUAAAUGGGGGAUUUCCUAGAGAAGAUGUGUGAUUUGGGGGAUAAUGGGGUAUUUUUGAGAGAUAAGCAUGAUUUUGGGGUAAAUGGGGGAUUUUCCAAGAGAAAAUGUGUGAUUUGGGAGAUAAUGCGUGAUUUUCAGGUUACAUGGGAGAUUUUUGAAGAGAAAAUGUGUGAUAUUCGGGAUGAAUCAGGGAUUCUUGAAGAGAAAAUGCAUCAUUUUCGGGUUCAAUGGGGGAUUCUCGAAGAGAAAUUGCAUUUUCUACUGGUUAAAUGGGGGAUUUUUGAAGAGGAAAUGCAUGAGUUUCGUUUACAUGUGAGAUUUUUGUAG